rnacentral:rRNA from 1 species
GAUGAACGCUGGCGGUGUGCCUAAUACAUGCAAGUCGAGCGAACGGACGAGAAGCUUGCUUCUCUGAUGUUAGCGGCGGACGGGUGAGUAACACGUGGAUAACCUACCUAUAAGACUGGGAUAACUUCGGGAAACCGUAGCUAAUACCGGAUAAUAUUUUGAACCGCAUGGUUCAAAAGUGAAAGACGGUCUUGCUGUCACUUAUAGAUGGAUCCGCGCUGCAUUAGCUAGUUGGUAAGGUAACGGCUUACCAAGGCAACGAUGCAUAGCCGACCUGAGAGGGUGAUCGGCCACACUGGAACUGAGACACGGUCCAGACUCCUACGGGAGGCAGCAGUAGGGAAUCUUCCGCAAUGGGCGAAAGCCUGACGGAGCAACGCCGCGUGAGUGAUGAAGGUCUUCGGAUCGUAAAACUCUGUUAUUAGGGAAGAACAUAUGUGUAAGUAACUGUGCACAUCUUGACGGUACCUAAUCAGAAAGCCACGGCUAACUACGU